CCUACGGGUGGCAGCAGUGGGGAAUAUUGGGCAAUGGAGGAUACUCUGACCCAGCAACGCCGCGUGAAUGAUGAAGGUCUUCGGAUUGUAAAGUUCUUUUCUAAGGGAAGAAAAUGACGGUACCUGAUUAAGAAGCCCUGGCUAACUACGUGCCAGCAGCCGCGGUAAUACGUAGGGGGCAAGCGUUAUCCGGAUUUACUGGGUGUAAAGGGAGCGUAGACGGCAGCACAAGUCUGGAGUGAAAUGCCGGGGCUUAACCCCGGAACUGCUUUGGAAACUGUGCAGCUAGAGUGCAGGAGAGGUAAGUGGAAUUCCUAGUGUAGCGGUGAAAUGCGUAGAUAUUAGGAGGAACACCAGUGGCGAAGGCGGCUUACUGGACUGUAACUGACGUUGAGGCUCGAAAGCGUGGGGAGCAAACAGGAUUAGAUACCCCUGUAGUC
rnacentral:rRNA from 1 species